GGGGCUGGGAAGGUGGCUCAGAAGUAGAGUGCUUGGCUUGAAUGCAUGAAGCCCUGGGUUUGAAUCCUCAGUACC
ensembl:miRNA